rnacentral:sRNA from 1 species
ACUCCAUCUCAAAAAAAAAAAAAAGAACUAAAAAAAAAAAAACUUUUUGGGCCAGGCGUGGUGGCCCACACCCGUAAUUCCAGCACUUUGGGAGGCCGAGGCAGGCGGAUCACGAGGUCAGGAGAUGGAGACCAUCCUGGCUAACAUGGUGAAACCCUAUCUCUACUAAAAAAAAAUACAAAAAAAAUUAGCCGGGCCUGGUGGCCAGCGCCUGUAGUCCCAGCUACUCGGGAGGUUGAAGCAGGAGAAUGGCGCGUGAACCUGGGAGGCUGAGCUUGCAGUGAGUGGAGAUCGCACCACUGCACUCCAGCCCGGACGACAGAGCGAGACUCCGUCUCAAAAAAAAAAAAAAACCUUUUUGACUCAUUAGAGAAUAAAUGUAGGUUAAUUGUAGAUCAUUUAGAUAUUAUGAAAGCAUAAAGUGAAAAGUAUCAUUAAGAAUCCUUUUAAGAUGGGUGAGCUUUUACGUGCAAUUUUGUGUCACACUUUUUUUACUUAAUUUAUCUCAUGUAUUUUCUAUUACAUUAAAAUCUUCCUUAUUAGUGGCUUCAUAAAAUCCAUUGUAUGGCCACAUUAUGAUUUACCCAACCAUUUCUCUUAUAUUGUCUAUCUUUUUUUGGUCUCCUAAUUCUUGCUGUUAUAAGUAACCCUGUGAUGGGUAUUAUCUGCAUAAAACUUUGUUUGCAUUUUUAUUAUCCCUGAGUACAUAUGGAUUCCAUGAAAUAAAAUUCAUGUGUCACAGCAGGAGUGAACAUAUUCGAGUAUCUCAGUGCCUGUAACCAAAUAACUUUGCAGAAAAGCUGUACCAGUUACACUUAACACCUGCAGUGUAUGAGCAUGCCCGUGUGAUGGCCACCUAAACAGCAUGGAGUACCCCUGUUGUGUUUGCUGGCCAGGCGUGGUGGCUCACAUCUGUAAUUCCAGCACUUUAGGAGGCCAAAGCAGGCGGAGCACCUGAGGUCAGAAGUUCAAGACCAGCCUGACCAACAUGAUGAGACCCUGUCUCUACUGAAAUUACAAAAAUUAGCUGGGCAUGGUGGUAGGCUCCUGCAAUCCCAGCUACUUGGGAGGCUGAGGCAGGAGAACCGCUUGAACCCGGGAGGCAGAAGUUGCAGUGUGAGAUCACACCAUUCCACUCCAGCUUGGGUGACAGAGUGAGACUCUGUCUCAAAAAUAAAAAAUAAAAAUAAAAAAUGCUAAUUUACCAAGUGAAAAAUAAUCAGGAAGUUUUUUUUGACUGAAUAAUAAAUAGAGAGAGGACUAUGAGUUAAGUACCAUUCUAUCAUUGUUUUAUUAGUAAUAUAACUGUUACAAUUGUGAUCAAAUUUUUUUUAUUAAAAGUCACUUUUUGAAGUCAACUUACCCCCAAAAAAGUGUAUUUUUUCCCCCAAUACAUGGGGAAUUUAAUUUUUUUAUGUCAUUUUGAAAAAUCAAUGCCAAGAGAUAAUACCACAUUGAGAUUUUUGACCAAAUGUUGCUAGCAUAAAUUGCCCUGGUUCAAGACCUCCACUCCUUGGUUCUUGGUCCCUUCAGUUUGUGGUAUGAAUAAACAUCAUUUGUAAUUAUUUGCCUAAGUCAUUUAAAAUCCCUAUUCUUCAGUUUAAUAUACUGUUUUGCUCCUCCUUUCUCAUUGAGGUAUUGUAUGAAUUUAAGGGCCAUGUGAAGUAUUUAUCCCUUCUUAAAAGAUAGGCACAGGAUAUAGACUCGGUAAUAAAAUGUGGUUUGGGUUUCUAGUAUUUUUUUAUGCUUCCAGGUACCCAGAACCGCAAAUUGUACUUUGAGCUCCUCAGAAGAAAGGUGCUCCAGGCAUCUGAGAGAAUACCAUUGGGGUGAUACUUACAAAUUUGUAAGCUAACACUGAAAUCUUAAAACUUUCGAAAAUAUUAAUGCAUUUGUAUGGCUUAUUUUUCAACUGAGUAUGUCAAAGCACUUUAUAAACAAGUGUUGUCCCUAGUUUGUACUGAUGGGGAAACUGAGGCAUGGGGUGAUAAGAUGACUGGCCCAAGGUUACAAAAUGAGUUAUUGACAGCUCCGGAAAUAGAAGAUUUUUAAAAUUCAUAUAUUAGAUACAUGUGGGCAUUGGCAUUCGAAGCUUCCCUCAUGCUAUUUCCUUUAGUCCUGUUCUUUGGGAACUUGCCUCCGAGGCUGAGAGGGUAGUUCAGGUUUCCGGGCUUGUUCAGCCUUUAGUCUCUGUAGAGGCUUCCAGCAAGCUGACAAGUUACUGCCAAAAGUGAGACAGAUGGUAUUUUUUAUGGUGUUGUCCUUAGUUGGAGAUUGCUAGUGAUUCUCCUCCUCAGGCUACUUUUUGAAAAGCUAUAAGGUGGUAUCAGCUUUAUUGUGGUUGGCUGAGGAAGGAUUUGUACAAGUAAAUGUUCUCUGCCCUAUUGUCAUUCCUAGGGCCAUCUGGUCUUGCAGUAUCCUGAAGGUGAGGGAUUAGAUUAUGCUCUGAAUUUGUAUGCCCAUAGUUUGAAGAAAUGUUUUACUUGACUUUUCUGUGUGUUGAGAUGAAAGUCUCCCAGGCUAAAGAUUUCUGAACUGCACACAAUGCCUGAAGAAGCACUUGAAAGGCACUUUAUUUCUCCCAGGUCCCCAACCAUGGGUUUAGGUUUUUAUGCCAGAAAGGAGACCUUCAUGAACAAAGACCCCCAAGACCUAGAGAGAAGAAGAAGUCUGAAAGAGGGAGGUUUGAAUUCAGCCUUCAGGAAUGAAGAGGGCAGACAGAGCAGGAGGCUCAGGCAGGGGAGUCAGGAACCACAGACCAGAAGCAUGGACUUGGAAAGGUUUUCAUGUAAUUGAAAUGAAGCUAUUGAUUCAUCCAUUUUAAAAGAAUUUGAAAAAUUCAUUAAAAUAUUUAAUUAGUGGCAUCCACUAAUUAAUAAAAGCAUAGGGAGUGGCAUCUUUAACCAAAAAUGAAAAUGAAGAAACAGACUCCAGCCCAGGGACCAGGGGCGUUUAUGAGGGACAUGGUGCCUCAUACAGCCAAGAUGAUCCAAGAGGCAUCAUCUUUAUGAAGCUUUAACACCUGGCAGCCUGCUCAUUGUGUUGUUUAAGAGGUAAGUAUGAACUGGUUUUGUUUGUAGCUUUUGUGUGGAAUCAGGUAGUGCUGUCUGCAGAGUGUAAACCUUUAUUUAAUUAAGUAGGAAUAACAGAUACAGUAAUUCUAUAUUAAAUCCCAAGAGUUUUAUUCUAAAUUGGUAAUGUGACUUUCAUCUCUUGAGUUUUUUCAAAUCGUUUUUAAUUUGUGGUUGAGUCUUCAUGAACUUUUAGUGUGUCAUCAGGGAAUAGUUGAUUCCCCUUUUUUGAAACCUUUCAAUUUCAUUUAUCCUUAGUGUUGAAAAGUGUCAGAAAAUUGAAAUGGACACAGAUGAUUGUAUCUGCCCUCCCUUUCAGGAAAGCCAUGUUGACUUUAAAAUAUCAAAAAAGAAAGUUCAGUUAUGAUUGCAGGGGGUAAUGAUAGUUUGAUCCACAAACUAUUUGCAGUGUAAAAGUGAAAUACCUUAGCUGACUUAGUUCAUUUUUGAAAGUUUUGAAUAGCUAAAACAAAGUUGGCAAAUAGGCUCAUAGAGCAGUUACAGAGUAAGACUAAAUUCAUAUUUGAUACAGACUCCUUUCUACCUUCCAUUCUGGGAGGAUUUAGUUUUACUGUUUGGUGUUUAGGAUAAUGAUUGUUCUAUUUUUCUCACCCUGCUAUGUGAAUAUAUAUUCUGUUAGAGAUGGGCUGUUAUCUGCAAUGUGGACUCAAUACCAUGGGCUUGAGUUUGGUUAGUUCAUUAUUAGAGAUUUUUUUUCAACAGUUGGUUUACUUUAUGAGAAAGGAUCAUGAGUUCAAUUUUCCCACUGAUAUAUUUGUGUUCUCAUUGCUGAGAUAUAUUUCUUAAUGAUUUGUUACCUUUUUUUGUUUUCCUAGACUAGUAUUAAAAUUUUGAUGGCAUAUGGGUUUGGUUCCACUUGUAGAGAAUAAAUGUUCACAACUUACUGGUAUUAGCACACAUCACAUGCAGAAAUGGUAUUUUCUUGCCACUUACUCUUUCUCAUAAGAUACUUAUAUUCCUGUGGGCAUUUGUCUUCCACACUACAGCACAUAAUUUGAUGAAACCGAUUUUCUGUGCAAGAGCUUGCGUUUCUCCAACUCUGGUUUUAUGGACCACUUCUUUUCAUUGGUGUAUAGGAGGCGGUUAGAACGUGGUGGUAGAAUGCAGGUUUUAGGUUAGCUGGGUGUGAAGAAUCCCAGGUCUUUGGGAUAGCCUUGGCAAGUUACUCACCUCCUCUAAGUUAGUUUCUUGAUCUGUCAGAUGACAGUAAACCUCAGAGUUGUGAAAAUUAAAUGGCUAUAAUGUGUGUAAAGCACUUAGCAUAAUGCUUUAUACAUCGUAAAACUUUCAAAAAUAGGAGUAGUUAUUAUUACAAAGAAAUGUGAAGAAGAGGCCUAGUGGGCUGCAUGUUAAAAAUAGUUUUUAGUUAAUGAAAAUUAAAUCACAUCUUAGAUGUUUAUCAUCUGCAUGGUACUUUUCUGGUUGCUGCUUUAACCUUUGUAUAGUUGAAAGUCUGUAAACUUUCUAGUAUUCUUUGAUUUCUGGCCCAUUUCCCUCCUACCAUUCACGCUUAUAUUUUUUGGUUCGAGUCACCAUUCCUUGCAAAACUAAUUAAAUACAUUCCUAAAUACAUAAUAUUGCCAAUAUUCAUUCACAUCCACCACGUCUAGGUCCAAGUCUUCAUCUUCUUUAUGCUGGUCUAAUUUUUGCUGAGCCUUAGAACCAAAGACAGACUCCGGGGGUUGAUAUGGGACCUCCAGAAUGGGGAUUGCACAGAAUAAUCUUAUUUUUCCUCUAUUCUUCUAGUCUGUUAUGUUCUGAACCCACACAUGUUUUCGGAAGGACCAGAUGGCUGACACUGGCUAAUGGGAACCAAAAGACGAGUGAAAGUAACCUGGUUGUCACAUACCCCCAGCUUAGAGGUGCUUCACCCUGCCCCAAGACCAGGAAUCCACACUAGCUCUAAUCAGAGAGCCCUUGGUGUGCGGGAACUGCCAGUUUGCCGACGUGAAAAGAGUCCCAGACUGGGUAAUGGUGAGCCCUGAAGUCGCACCCCAGCUCUGCCACUCAGUGAGCACGGCAACAUCCCUAAUCCUGACCAGCCAUGGAGAGGUUCGGUUCUUACAAGGAAAAUGAGUGAAUGUGGGAAUGGCUCACCACAUUGUGAAAACAAAACUCACAUCCUGCUGAUGGUUGGCUGAGGACUGUCAUGUCCACAUACAAAGAAAAGCAUGUGGCACAGUUUUAGAACAAAGAUAUGGUUUUGUGGAGUUUGAUGAUCUGCGUGAUGCAGAUGAUGCUGUUUAUGAACUGAAUGGCAAAGACCUUUGUGGUGAGCGAGUAAUUGUUGAGCAUGCCCGCGGCCCACGGCGAGAUGGCAGUUACGGUUCUGGACGCAGUAAGCAUUCGAAGGGCAUACUUUUAUCAGUAACGUGCUUUUGUUAUCAUGCUAAUUUUUAAAGUAAUUAAUUGAUAUUACAUUUAAACGUAUUGAUGUUUAAGCUAUUUUGUAAAUUAUGUUUUUUAAAAAAUGUAGAAUUACAAAUAAGCCUUUGAUAAUGUUUAAUUUUAAUUAAAUUAAUGACAAUUUCUUGUUUAUAAUACUUUAUAAAUAUGUUUAAUGAUGUGUGUUUGUGUUGUUGUUUUUUUUCUCUGUAAUGCAAUUGUUUAACAUAGAUUUAACAAAGACCUCAAUGUUUUAAUUAAAAGAAUCCUUUGAGGCUAAGAUGACUGCCUGUUCCAUUUGCUGACCUUGGGUUACCUUUCCAUGCGUGGCUCUUGGAACCAUUGUGGCCCUUGGCUGACCAAAAACAGGAAGCCAUGUGACGACCGCAACCUUUCCCCAUUAGACCUGGGUGGUGAGGAUCCCAAGGGUUAGACACAGAUGAGAUUAAACUGAAAUAGGUGCCUGAAAAUCUUUUUUUUUUUUCAUAUAAAAUAUUCAAAAAAUUUUUAAUCACUGUGAGUAACACCAGUAACUGAUUUAGUAAUUUGGUUACUUAUUUCUAAAUUGUUAAAUUGUUAAUAGUUUUUAAUUUAUGCAUGUUAAUCUUAAAUGCAAAUAUUAAUGAAUAUGUAUACUUACAACUUUUAAAAUUAAAUGUUUAUAUUUAGCUGAUUGCUUCUUUAAAAAUCUAUUUUAGAAUUAAGGGUGGGAAUAGAGUUAAAACGUGCUAUUGUUUGGGGUGGGGGGGGUAAAUAAUAUAUUUAAGGAGGAGUGUGUGCUGUGUCUUUUUUUUUCCUUUUCCUCCACUGAAAUAAUCUUAUUUAUUUGAACCUUCCAAAGGUGGAUAUGGUUAUAGAAGAAGUGGCCGAGAUAAAUAUGGCCCUCCUACUCGCACAGAGUACAGACUUAUUGUGGAGAAUUUGUCAAGUCGGUGCAGCUGGCAAGACCUAAAGGAUUAUAUGCGUCAGGCAGGAGAAGUGACUUAUGCAGAUGCUCACAAGGGACGCAAAAAUGAAGGGGUGAUUGAAUUUGUAUCUUAUUCUGAUAUGAAAAGAGCUUUGGAAAAGUUGGAUGGAACUGAAGUCAAUGGCAGAAAAAUCAGAUUAGUUGAAGACAAGCCAGGUUCCAGACGACGCCGGUCCUACUCCAGAAGCCGGAGUCAUUCAAGGUCUCGCUCUCGAAGCAGACAUUCCCGUAAGAGCAGAAGCCGAAGUGGCAGCAGCAAAAGCAGUCAUUCUAAGAGUAGAUCCCGGUCCAGGUCGGGCUCCCGCUCCCGGAGCAAGAGCCGGAGCCGGAGCCAGAGUCGGAGCCGGAGCAAGAAAGAGAAAAGCAGGAGCCCCAGCAAGGACAAGAGCCGCAGCCGCAGCCGUAGUGCUGGCAAGAGCCGCAGCAAGAGCAAAGACCAAGCUGAAGAGAAGAUCCAAAACAAUGACAAUGCCGGGAAACCCAAGAGCCGGAGUCCUAGCAGGCAUAAAAGUAAGAGCAAAAGUCGGAGCAGGAGUCAGGAGAGGAGAGUAGAGGAAGAGAAGCGAGGGAGUGUGAGCAGAGGCAGAAGCCAGGAGAAGAGCCUCCGCCAGAGUCGGAGCCGGAGCAGGAGCAAAGGGGGCAGCAGGAGCCGGAGCAGGAGCCGCAGCAAGAGCAAGGACAAGAGAAAGGGCAGGAAGAGAAGCAGGGAGGAGAGCCGCAGCCGUAGUCGCAGCCGCAGCAAGAGUGAGAGGAGCAGAAAGCGAGGCAGCAAGCGAGACAGCAAGGCGGGCAGCAGCAAGAAGAAGAAGAAGGAAGACACUGACCGCUCCCAGUCCAGAUCUCCAUCCCGCUCCGUGUCAAAGGAGCGGGAACAUGCCAAGUCUGAAUCCAGCCAGAGGGAAGGUCGAGGAGAGAGUGAGAAUGCUGGCACCAAUCAGGAGACCCGGUCCAGGUCGAGAUCCAAUUCCAAAUCGAAACCAAACGUUCCAUCAGAAUCACGCUCCAGAUCAAAGUCAGCUUCAAAAACCCGAUCUCGGUCCAAGUCUAGAUCCAGGUCUGCUUCCAGAUCACCCUCCCGAUCUAGAUCUAGGUCCCACUCAAGGUCCUAACUGGCUACGGCCACAGCUGGAACUACCCGAGAAGUCUUUUGUACAUGUUUGGUAGCCGUAGCACAAGUGAUUGGAGUAGAACAUGUCACUGCUGUACAUUUUUAACUCCCCUAAUGGUGUGUCUAUAAUUGUUAAAUCUAAGUGCUUCCUCUCAGUAAAGCCUCCUGGCGCCAGGCCUUCCUGCUCGACUGAAAAAAAUUUUCUCUUUGAAAAUCCCCUUUUACUCAUGGCCCACAGUAGAAUAUCCAAAACGCCUUGGCUUUCAGGCCUGGCGUUUCCUACAGGGAGCUCAGUAACCUGGACGGCUCUAAGGCUGGAAUGACCACAUAGGUAGGUAUGGUGAGUUCAACCAUUUUUGCUCUUGAAUUGAUGCCCUUCGAUGUAUGCCAUUUAGUGAAAGUGCUAAGUCUUAAGUUUCCUACCACUUUGGUUUCAUAUUUUUGGACUUAACAAAGUUGUGAAUAGCACAGUCGAGGAAAAUUGAUACCUGCAGUAACCUAUAGGAAAUAAACUGUAGAGUUCCAUAUUCUGGUAUUGUGAUUAUAUUGUUUUAUAUU